rnacentral:lncRNA from 1 species
ACAGAUGUUCCAACAUCUGGACCACAUCCCCAACUGGUUUUGGGGAUUGUUUUCUUUCUCUGUGUUCUUUUGUUUCUUGUUUCCUUGUUCAUGUUUUCAUGAACAAUGUUAUGGUUUAGAUGUGGUGUCCCUCAAAAGUUCAAAAGUUGAUUAAAAACCAAACAUCUUGUGUGAGGCCAGCAGAGACUGAGAUAAAUAAUAUUCUUUCUAAAAUGGGACACUUCUGUUUUUUUGUAGACUUAUUUUAGGGGGCAGGUUUAAGACAAUCAAAAAAGGUGUUGUACUGGGCUUGGGCUUUGUCUUCACUAUUGUCACCUUCAGUCUAACAUAAGUGUUGAAGUCCUCUAGUCUAAAUUCUGUGAAAGAUAAAAACCAACUAGCUUGUCAGUUGUCUGCUUUACUCUCAAUUUCAGUGUUUCUCUUGGUACCUUGAGCUUAGAAACCCUCUUCCUAUAUAAAGGGCUAAGGAAAACAUUAAAUUUCUUCCCUGUUUAUGUGCCUACCAUGACUUUGCUCAUCAUUGAUGGAAUAUCUAAAGAAUACUAACUUCUUGGUGGGUUUGUCUCAGAAGAACUCAGACUCAUUCGCUUCCUCCCUCUGGGGUCUGGCCAGUCUUUGGGGGAUGAAGUGUCCUCGAGGGAUAGAUAGGUCAAGCCAGUUGUUAGAAUAGAGCUGUCUUUGUUCUAACUUGUAUUUAGGGACUCCCCUGGGAAUCCAAUUUUGGAAUCCCACUUGUGGAGAGGACACUGUGUCCAGUACUUCCCAGUCAGGACCCUGAAAAGCUACCCUGGAUUCCCCAGCUACAUGGCUUCAAGUGUUGGUAUUUCCCUGAUUUGCUAAUAUAUUUUGUUUUUCUCUUGCCUAUUACUUUUUCUUUUCCUCUGCCUUCCAUAAAAUAAACAGUAUCUUGUAUAAAGAGAGUGUCUUUGUUAUCUAUGGAUCUGACCUGCCAAAUUGAGCAGCUGCACACACAUGGUAAUACACCCAACUCUUGUCCCCCCUCAACAGUAGAUUCUGUUGCAUGUUGCUCAAUGUUAUGGUUUGGAUGUGGUGUCCCCCAAAAGUUCAUGUGUAAGACAAUGUAAGAAGAUUUGGAGGAGAAAUGAUUGGCCUUAACCUAAUCUACGAAUUAAUCCCUCAUGGAAUUAACCAAGUGGUAACUGGAGGCAGGUGGGGUGUGGCUGGAGGAAGUAGUUCAUUGGGGGCGUGGCUAUCUUUCUCACACCAUUGAUGUUUGUGAAGAAUAGCCCAUCAGUAGGUACAGAUUACAUCUGUAGACUCUAUGUGUUCCAUGGUCUCUUGGAAACCUACAUGCACUUUGUAGUAAUUCAUUAUUGUCAUGGUUUGGAUAUACGGUGUCCCCCAAAAACUCACAUGUGAGACAAUGCAAGAAGUUUCAGGGGAGAAAUGAUUGGACUGUGAGAGUCUGAAACCAAUCUGUAAAUUAAUCCCUGAUGGGAUUAACUGAGUGGUAGCUAGAGGCAGGUGGGGUGCGGCUGAAGAAAGUGGUUAAUUGGGGGCGUGGCUAUGGUAUAUACUUUUUAAAAUCUAGAGCUGGAUCUCUCUCUGCUUCUUGAUCACCAUGAUGUGAGCCACUUUCUUCUGCCAUCCUCUCCCACCAUGAUGUUCAGCCUCACCUCCAGCUCUGAGGAAUGGAGCCAGCCUUCUCUGGACUAAGACCUCUGAAACUGUGAGUCUUGGAAUAAACUUUUCCUCCCUUACAGUUCCUUUAGUCACAGCAGCAAAAAAGCUGGCUAAAACAAUUAUUUUAGCUGAAUUCUUC